AAAACCUGUAUGGGCAGAGAGAGGUUGAAAAGGACAUAUAUCAUCUCAGUUCUUGUUUAAGAGGACACACAGGGUCGGAAGGAAAGUGUAACGAAAUUAGCUUAUGAAAUUGUCAUGAAAAAUGAAAAAACAGGAUGAGAUGCGAAUGUGAAAGUGUAUCCAAAAAUGAAAAUCCAUCAGUCGUUGAAAAAAAAGAAUAAUGGUCAAGAGGAAUUGAGCUAGUCAUUAAGACCACGCUCGCUAGUUGCAUUCUCGAGCAAAGUGUCCAGCUCCAAUCCUGUUGACCAUUUUUUUUCAUCGACUGGCGGAUUUUUAUAUUUUGAUACACUUCCCAUUUCUGAGUGUCAGAGAAUCAGUCUCAAAUAUGACUCCCACAUAACUUUUUGAAAUACAAUACUCUAUAACUUUCUUUAAAGCAAGUGCCUCUACCUCUAUGUUUGUAGUCUCACCCACACUUCUAGCUUUUGCAAAUAUCAAAUAUCCCCUUUCAUUUCUGAGGUAAAAAAAGCUAAAGCUCCUAUCCUGGGGUUACCUUUACAGGCCCCAUCUGUAUUACAUUUAAUCUUACCCCUCUCUGGAAAAGCCCAUAUGAUACUAUGACAGUGUAAUCUAGGCUUAUAACUCUGGAGAAUAGAGAUAAUAUUUGUCCAGCUUUCUUUACCAAUCUUCAACCAUGGAAACAAAAACUUGAUCACCUUUUUAAUCAUGUCUUGCACCUGCCAUACCAUCUGUGUAAAUGAGAUGCUAUCUCCAUGUUUUAUCCGAUUUCUCCUUCUCCACGAACACCACAUGAUAAUUGCUGCAUUACCCUUCAUACUCCUUCUAUCUUGGGAUUCCAUCUUAUGGUCCACCAUGUAUGAAUUAGCUGAUGCAUAUCCAUAUCUUCAAUAUUAAUGCCUGCAAAAAAAGCAAACAGCUUCCAUAGCUUUUCAGCUAUGGGAGAUGUUAGAAAAAUAUGUUCCACUGUUUCCUCUUUGUUUGUUUCACAGCACUAACACCUUGAAACAAGAUUAAUUCUCAUAUUUUUCAGUACAUUAUCAGUGGCAAUCCUUCUUUUCCAAACUCUCCACAUAAAAAAGUUAACCUUGAAAGGUAUCCCCUUAGCCCAGAUGGUCUGAUAUUCUUCCUUUCUUUCUCUUUUACUUCUCAAAUUAUCCCAAGCAGUAAAAUUUCCUUGAUUGUUUUCAGUCCACCAAGGAAUGUCAUCACACUUAUAUCGAUGAGGUACUUUGAUGUUUUGCAUGAUAAAUAUCACCAUCUCUUCUGAAAGUUUAUUCCAGUCCAAUUAUCAUAUCAAAAGGUUGAUAUUAACCAUUUUUCUCCACAUAUGUGAGAUAUUAAAACCUCUUGCCAUCGUUGGAUGAUGUUUCUUGCAAUAUUUGUUCCACAUGAGCUCUGUCUAUAAAGAAGGGGUGGAGGUUCUAAAAUUCCACCAGAGCUUAGCGUUUAAAACUUUGGACACAGUAUUUAAAUACCUAAAAUCAAUACCCCCUUCCUCUUUGGGAAAACACAUAUUUUCCCAAGAAAUCCAAUGUUUAUUUCUAGCUCUAGUAGUAUUUGCCCAAACGAAUUUAGCAAAUAUCUUAUGAAGCUGAUUAAUAACACUUAGAGAAGGACUCAUAGCAGAAAGAAGGUAGAUAGGCAUAGAUUACAGGACAUUAGCAGUUAAAAUAUAUCUUCCUCCAAAAGAUAAUAACUUAUGUUGCCAUAAGCUCAAUCUCUUCACCACUUUCUUUACCAGAUCCUAAAAAAAGCCUUCUUCUUUCUUCCAUAGUAUAUUGGACAUCCCAAAUAAGUAAAAGGAAAAGGCUCUUUAUUAAUACCAGUAAUUCUUUUGACCAAGCCACCAAUUCCAAUUGGGGUCUUCUUAUGAAUAUAGAAUAGGCUUUCUCCAAAUUGAUCAUUUGACCUGAAAUAUUUUCAUAAUCUCUAAGAACCCUUAUCAUCUUCUUGAUAGACCCUGGAUGCCCUAAACUAAAAAGAAUGGUGUCAUCUGUAUAUGAAAGAUAGUUGAUUUGAGGACUCCAUCUAGGUAACCCAUAUUCAAUAAAGAGAGGAUCUUCAUAAAGCUUGUUUAAGCUUCUUGAUAAAACCUCUACAGCAAUGAUGAAUGGAGUUGGAGAUAAAAGGUCUCCCUAUUUUAGACCCUUAGAAGAAUGAAAGAAACCAAAGGACUGGCUAUUAAUCAACACAGAAUAUCAAUUAUUACUUAUCAGCCUCACCACCAUGUCAAUGAUCCUUUCUGAGAAGCCAAACUUCCUUAACACCUUGACCAAAUAUUUCCAAGACACUCUGUCAUAAGCCUUAGCCAUAUCUAAAUUCACCACAACAUUAUGAUUCUUCUUUCUGAUAUUUAUAUCCCUAAUAAUCUCUUGUGCUAGCAAAACAUUUUCUAGGAAAAACUGCAACCAUCCUUUCAUAACGAAUCCUAGAGAUGAUCUUAUUUAUAAAAUUGCAAAGAUUAAUUGGUCUUAAAUUACCAAAAGUCUUUACAAUUUAUUUCUUAGGAAUCAACACAAAAUUUGUAUGAAUGACAUACCUUAGGAGUUCUUGAUCACUGAAAAAGCUUUAACCACAUUUGAUAUAUAUUCUCCAAUCACAUCCCAACUAGCUUGGAAGAAUUUACUUGAGAAGUCAUCCAGACCACAAGCACUUUUUCUAUUUAAAGCAAAAACAACCUGUUUCACUUCAUCUAAAGUAGGUAAUCCCUCCAUUUGAUCAUUUUGACUUUGAGUAAUCAUAUUUAGGAUAGACUGUAACAGCUCAUUAUCAAUGUCCUCCUGAGAUUGUUUGAAUUGAUCAUUAAAGAACGUUACUGCCUCUUCUCCAAUAUUCUGAGUUAUAUUAACCACAUCUCCCUGCUUAGUUUGAAUUUCCCUAAACUAUAUCUUCCUUCUCUUUCCUUUUACAUAAGCAUGAAAAGAUUUGGUAUUCUUUUCUCCUUCUGUAAACCACUCCAUCCCUGCCUUCUGUCUCCAAAACUCUUCUUCAAUAUGCAGAUAUCUCUUUAAAUCAGCUUCUACUUUAUUGAGAUGCAUUCUAUUUUCCUCUGAUGGGUUUAUUUCCAACUGAACUUCCUUGGCCUUGAUUAAGUUCUCCAAAGUAUAAAUUUUUUGAAAACAUUACCAAAAGUCAUCUUAUUCCAUUCCGCUAAAGCCUUCUUGACACUCCUCAUCUUAUGAUGAACUAUAAUGAAAGGAGAACCACUUUCUUCCACCACCCAAGCCUCUUUAAUAAUUUGCAGAAAGUCCUUAUGCUGCAUCCAGAAGUUCAAAAAUCUAAAAGGCUUUAUAACAUGCUUCUGGGAAUCAUCACAAGACACAUGAAGAGGAGCAUUAUCUUAUCCUUGUCUAAUCAGAUGGUUUAAAUUCACUGUUUGGCAACAGUUGCAUAAACUCAUUAUUCCUCAACACUCUAUCUAUCCUUUUGAAAAUACAAUCUUCAUGGAUUCUCCCAUUCCACCAGGUAUACAAAGUACCAGUAAACUUCAAUUUUUUAAGACCAUAAGAAGAAACACAGUUAGCAAAAUCAAUCAUCUCCUGCUGAGAGACUGACAGCCCACCCAUUUUUUUUGAAUCAUUCAAAAUAACAUUGAAAUAUCCACCUACCAUCCAAGGAACAUGAGUUUGUUCAGAUAAACUUUCUAAAUAUUUCCAAAGUUUAAUUCUAUCCAAAGCACUGCAUCUUGUAUAGACUGCAGUAAUUACAAACUCCUCAGUAGACCCUUUAAGCUUGAAGGUAAUAGUUAACUGUUGAAUAGAAUUUGUAGAACUCUUUUCCUCCCAAUUAUCUUCCCGAAACACCCAAAUUUUAGAAGAACAAUUCACUUUUGCAUUAGGCAAUUCUAUCCUCCUCCUAUAAUUCUCUAUCUCAGUUGGGCUUUGAAAAGGUUCUAGUAUAGCAAUGUAUGAAUAUUGAUGUCUCCUGUGUAGAUCAAUUAACCUCUCAAAAGAUUUUUGAGAUUUAACAGAUCUAAUAUUCCAAAAUAAAACUAUAUUAAUCAUUGAUCACAAGUAUGCGAUGACCCCUUCUUCCUCCUUGUAUUUAUUUGUGACUGAGGUAAGUUUAAAUUCCCUCUUUCUUAUUUUUAGCUUUGAGGUUCCCCAUUUGCCUUGGUGAUAAUCACCAUCCUAAAAAAUAUGCUCUACAUUAAGGUCAAUACUUUCAUCUUCUUUUGUAUUCUGCUUCUCAACCUUAUCUGCUGCUGACAGGGAACUUAUCUUUGGGGUUGCUGCUCUUGCAGCUGGAUUUUCUAUCUGAGCUUGCUAAUCCUUUUCUGAUGGAUGCAAUUGCUCAGGACCGUUAUCAUCUGAAACUUCAUUCUCUUCAUUACCUCCUUUGGCAUUUAUCUCUUGAGAUUCUCCCGUAUUAUCUUUCUCCCAUUCGUCAGAACCUUUUGUUGCAUUAUCUUAUUGUGCUGCAUUGUUCGUCAUACUCUAGGAAUCUUGUUGUUUAUCCGAGAUGCUGGAUUCUCCCAUGUGCUCCACAUUGGUAUUAUCUUGUACCUUCUACUUUUCUUUCUUUGCACUUGCUUGAGCCUCCUACUGCUUAGCAUCCUUCCCCUUAUCAACUGUUGCUUCUAAAUUGACAUUUGUGUUAUUGUCAUUCAGUGUUGCAAAAGUAUUACCAGUAAUUAUUUCCUUAUACUUCUCCUUAUUGAUAGUUCUCCAUUCAUUUCUGCCUCUUCCCUGAUGGCUUCCCCUUCUAUUAUCCCCUUUAAUUUCUUUUUUGUUCUUUAUAACCAUCAUUAUCAUCUUUGAUAUCAUUGCCUUUAUUAUUCUAUCCACUUCCACUUCCUUCUUUCUUAUGCUUAUUGUUUGUCGUAACAUGUGCUUUGUUGGAGUCUAUAUUCUUCUCUUCUCCCUCCUCUUUUGGGUAUAAUUUUGGGUGCAAGACAAAACAUUCUUUUUCUGUAUGUCCCUGCAGCAUGCAAGUUUCACAAUACUUUGGAACAUAGUCAUAUCUUAUGUGAAUCCACUUCUCCUUGAUCUCAUUAUCCUUCUUCCUCAUCCCAACAUUUAUUCUUUUUGGAAAAUCCUCAAGUAAGUCCACCUCCACUUUGAAUCUUGCACAACUUAGCCUUGUCUUAUUUUGUGUUGCCAUAUGCACUUGCAAUAAUUUUCCUACAGCUGCUGCCAGUGAGAAGACUGUUUCUUGUCCAAAGAAAUUUGGAGGGAGAGAAGUAAAAGAUAUCCAAGCAACCAAUAAUUAUGGGUAAUAUAAAAUUUUGAUUUCGAUAGCAAAUGCACAUAGUCUUCCAUCCUUGUAGCUCUUAUCAAAAUUUGUCUGUUACUAAAGAGGCCAAUAUUCACCUCUCCUUUUAAUUCACAUUGUUGUAGGAUCAAUCUCCUUAGAUCUUGAAUGUCAGGCCAUCCAUAUGAGAAUUUUUCUAUUACUGCAUAUUCCUGGGUUUCCAAGUAGUAGGAUAAUACAUACUGGUUCUACACAUCCUAUAAGAUUUGUUGAUAUUACUGGGGACCUUGGUUACAAACCAAAAACGGGAGUAAGGUGGAGGGGCAAAAAAGCAAUGAUUGGAAACUAACUUGAAGUGAUGAGAGAUGAGAUGAGAAUCAACAAAAGACAGAAAAUGACUUCAUCACAAUCCAAGCAACAAUGAAAGUAGUUUUAAAAUGUUGAUAGUUUUUGAAACUAAAACUGAUGUUGUAUUGUAAAUUGGGGUAGGUUAUUUUGACAAGAUCAUUUUUUGUGAAGGUUCUAUGAUGCACUAGAAUGUUGCAUCUCAGACAUUUGUCCAGUUAUUUUGUAGUAUAUAUUGCACUUGAAAGUUCAAGUUGCAUCUCAAACAGUUAUGCACUGAUUUUGUUCUAUUGUAUUGAAUAUUGGGAUCUAUAAAUUUGUAUCUAUCCU